GCGUGACUAUGGAGUCCGGCGUGGCAGCGGCACUCUGGCCAAAGGUCCCACAAGCUCUCCUGGGAGAGUGAGCAGCUGAUGAAAUCCCAGAGGCCCUGAAAC
rnacentral:lncRNA from 1 species